UACGUAGGGUGCAAGCGUUGUCCGGAAUUAUUGGGCGUAAAGAGCUCGUAGGCGGUUUGUCGCGUCUGCUGUGAAAACCCGAGGCUCAACCUCGGGCCUGCAGUGGGUACGGCGAGACUAGAGUGCGGUAGGGGAGAUUGGAAUUCCUGGUGUAGCGGUGGAAUGCGCAGAUAUCAGGAGGAACACCAAUGGCGAAGGCAGAUCUCUGGGCCGUGAACUGACGCUGAGGAGCGAAAGCAUGGGGAGCGAACAGG
rnacentral:rRNA from 1 species